rnacentral:tRNA from 1 species
CGUCACGGUGGCGCCGGGCAGCGCCUCGGCGUGCCGGGCCGCCGCGGCGGUGGCCGUCGACGCCGAGUACCGGAUCGUGAUCGGCAGUGUCGCC